UUUUGUGUUUCGUUUUGUUUUGUUUUUCCAGCUCCUUAGAACUCAGGCUUUGAGAAUGGAUGGAGACUGGAACAUUCAACCCAUGCAGGUGUAAGCCGAGGAACAAGCUGAAGGAAUGAACAGUCGAAACUUCGGUGAUCAGAGACAAACGUUACAAGAAGAAACAACAGUAGCAGACAGCCAUUGCACAGUACUCUCCCCAGGGAGUUAAGGAUUCCUCUAUGAAAGAUUUGUCCACGUGUGGAGGCCCACAGAGGUUUCCUAGUGAGAUCUGAGCUUGCUUUACCCAGCAGGGCUGCAUUAGAGGAUGGCUUGACCAGGAAAAGUGAGGCAAAAAGUUCAUAUGCAAUCCCACCAAAGAGUCAGUCACAAACCCAAAUGGUCUGCUGGGGAUUCAUACCGACGAAGUCUGGCUUGUGAGUCUGGCUUGUGCACUCAAAUCACUGAUAUAUACUUUCCUCCCAAAGAGAGAGAGAAUUGCACUGAGCAAGUCCUCAGACUCUCUGAGCUCAUUAA